GCAGUACUCCCUCGGUCCGACAAAAGAUGUCUCAAGUUCGUCAAAAUUUAAAUAUAUUUAGACAUGACUCGGUGUAUAGAUGCAUUCAAAUUAGUCAAAAUUCAGACAUCCUUUGUUGGACAGAGGAAGUACUAC
rnacentral:pre_miRNA from 1 species